GAUGAACGCUGGCGGCGUGCCUAAUACAUGCAAGUCGAGCGAACAGACGAGAAGCUUGCUUCUCUGAUGUUAGCGGCGGACGGGUGAGUAACACGUGGAUAACCUACCUAUAAGACUGGGAUAACUUCGGGAAACCGUAGCUAAUACCGGAUAAUAUAUUGAACCGCAUGGUUCAAUAGUGAAAGACGGUUUUGCUGUCACUUAUAGAUGGAUCCGCGCCGCAUUAGCUAGUUGGUAAGGUAACGGCUUACCAAGGCAACUAUGCAUAGCCGACCUGAGAGGGUGAUCGGCCACACGGGAACUGAGACACGGCCCAGACUCCUACGGGGGGCAGCAGUAGGGAAUCUUCCGCAAGGGGCGAAAGCCGGACGGGGCAACGCCGCGGGAGUGAUGAAGGUUUUCGGUCCGUAAAACGCUGUUAUUAGGGAAGAACAUAUGUGUAAGUAACUGUGCACAUCUUGACGGUACCUAAUCAGAAAGCCACGGCUAACUACGUG
rnacentral:rRNA from 1 species